rnacentral:rRNA from 1 species
GAGACGGAGCUUGCUCCUGGUGGCUAGUGGGAACGGGUGAGUAAUAUAUCGGAACGUACCCAGUCGUGGGGGAUAACUCUCCGAAAGGAGAGCUAAUACCGCAUACGUCCUGAGGGGGAAAGCGGGGGAUCGCAAGACCUCGCGCGAUUGGAGCGGGCGAUAUCGGAUUAGCUAGUUGGUGAGGUAAAGGCUCACCAAGGCGACGAUCCGUAGCGGGUCUGAGAGGACGGCCCGCCACACUGGAACUGAGACACGGUCCAGACUCCUACGGGAGGCAGCAGUGGGGAAUUUUGGACAAUGGGGGCAACCCUGAUCCAGCCAUUCCGCGUGAGUGAAGAAGGCCUUCGGGUUGUAAAGCUCUUUCAGCAGGAACGAAACGGUCGACUUUAAUAAAGUCGUCUAAUGACGGUACCUGCAGAAGAAGCACCGGCUAACUACGUGCCAGCAGCCGCGGUAAUACGUAGGGUGCGAGCGUUAAUCGGAAUUACUGGGCGUAAAGCGUGCGCAGGUGGCGACAUAAGACAGAUGUGAAAUCCCCGGGCUCAACCUGGGAACUGCGUUUGUGACUGUGUUGCUAGAGUGUAGCAGAGGGGGGUGGAAUUCCACGUGUAGCAGUGAAAUGCGUAGAGAUGUGGAGGAACACCGAUGGCGAAGGCAGCCCCCUGGGUUAACACUGACGCUCAUGCACGAAAGCGUGGGGAGCAAACAGGAUUAGAUAGCCUGGUAGUCCACGCCCUAAACGAUGCCAACUAGGUGUUGGGGGAGGAGACUUCCUUAGUACCGUAGCUAACGCGUGAAGUUGNCCGCCUGGNGAAGUACGUUCGCAAGAUUAAAACUCAAAGGAAUGAACGGGACCCGCACAAGCGGUGGAUGAUGUGGAUAAUUCGAUGCAACGCGAAAACCUUACCUACCUUGACAGUCCGGAAUCUGAAGAAAUUGGAGGGCUACACGGGCGACACAGCNCNCUGAAGCGUGGCUCAG